GAUGAAGAACGCAGCGAAAUGCGAUAAGUAGUGUGAAUUGCAGAAUUCAGUGAAUCAUCGAAUCUUUGAACGCACAUUGCGCCCUUUGGUAUUCCAAAGGGCAUGCCUGUUCGAGCGUCAUUUGUACCCUCAAGCUUUGCUUGGUGUUGGGCGUCUUGUCUCUAGCUUUGCUGGAGACUCGCCUUAAAGUAAUUGGCAGCCGGCCUACUGGUUUCGGAGCGCAGCACAAGUCGCACUCUCUAUCAGCAAAGGUCUAGCAUCCAUUAAGCCUAUUUUUCAACUUUUGACCUCGGAUCAGGUAGGGAUACCCGCUGAACUUAAGCAUAUCAAUAAGCGGAGGA
rnacentral:misc_RNA from 1 species